CCUACGGGGGACUGCAGUAGGGAAUAUUGCUCAAUGGGGGAAACCCUGAAGCAGCAACGCCGCGUGGAGGAUGAAGGUUUUCGGAUUGUAAACUCCUUUUGUUAGAGAAGAUAAUGACGGUAUCUAACGAAUAAGCACCGGCUAACUCCGUGCCAGCAGCCGCGGUAAUACGGAGGGUGCAAGCGUUACUCGGAAUCACUGGGCGUAAAGAGCGCGUAGGCGGGAUAGCAAGUCAGAUGUGAAAUCCUAUGGCUUAACCAUAGAACUGCAUUUGAAACUGUUCGUCUAGAGUAUGGUAGGGGUAGGUGGAAUUCUUGGUGUAGGGGUAAAAUGCGUAGAGAUCAAGAGGAAUACUCAUUGCGAAGGCGACCUGCUAGACCAUAACUGACGCUGAUGCGCGAAAGCGUGGGGAGCAAACAGGAUUAGAUACCCCGGUAGUC
rnacentral:rRNA from 1 species